GCUCGAGUGGCGAACGGGUGAGAAACACGUGAGUAACCUGCCCUUGACCUUGGGAUAACUUCAGGAAACUGGGGCUAAUACCGGAUAGGAGCUCCUGCUGCAUGGUGGGGGUUGGAAAGUUUCGGCGGUUGGGGAUGGACUCGCGGCUUAUCAGCUUGUUGGUGGGGUAGUGGCUUACCAAGGCUUUGACGGGUAGCCGGCCUGAGAGGGUGACCGGCCACAUUGGGACUGAGAUACGGCCCAG
rnacentral:rRNA from 1 species